rnacentral:rRNA from 1 species
AUUGAACGCUGGCGGCAGGCUUAACACAUGCAAGUCGAGCGGAGAUGAGGUGCUUGCACCUUAUCUUAGCGGCGGACGGGUGAGUAAUGCUUAGGAAUCUGCCAUUUAGUGGGGGACAACAUUCCGAAAGGAAUGCUAAUACCGCAUACGUCCCACGGGAGAAAGCAGGGGAUCUUCGGACCUUGCGCUAAAUGAUGAGCCUAAGUCGGAUUAGCUAGUUGGUGGGGUAAAGGCCUACCAAGGCGACGAUCUGUAGCGGGUCUGAGAGGAUGAUCCGCCACACUGGGACUGAGACACGGCCCAGACUCCUACGGGAGGCAGCAGUGGGGAAUAUUGGACAAUGGGCGGAAGCCUGAUCCAGCCAUGCCGCGUGUGUGAAGAAGGCCUUUUGGUUGUAAAGCACUUUAAGCGAGGAGGAGGCUACUAGUACUAAUACUACUGGAUAGUGGACGUUACUCGCAGAAUAAGCACCGGCUAUCUCUGUGCCAGCCGCCGCAGUAACAC